rnacentral:rRNA from 1 species
AGUGAACGCUGGCGGUAGGCCUAACACAUGCAAGUCGAACGGCAGCACAGUAAGAGCUUGCUCUUACGGGUGGCGAGUGGCGGACGGGUGAGGAAUACAUCGGAAUCUACUUUUUCGUGGGGGAUAACGUAGGGAAACUUACGCUAAUACCGCAUACGACCUACGGGUGAAAGCAGGGGAUCUUCGGACCUUGCGCGAUUGAAUGAGCCGAUGUCGGAUUAGCUAGUUGGCGGGGUAAAGGCCCACCAAGGCGACGAUCCGUAGCUGGUCUGAGAGGAUGAUCAGCCACACUGGAACUGAGACACGGUCCAGACUCCUACGGGAGGCAGCAGUGGGGAAUAUUGGACAAUGGUCGCAAGCCUGAUCCAGCCAUACCGCGUGGGUGAAGAAGGCCUUCGGGUUGUAAAGCCCCUUUGUUGGGAAAGAAAAGCAGCAGGUUAAUACCCCGCUGUCCUGACGGUACCCAAAGAAUAAGCACCGGCUAACUUCGUG